CAAAAUUCAGGUAGUAGUGAUAUUUACUUUACUUUUAUCGCCAUACCUAUUGUAGACUGUCCUCAAAUCACAACACUUCAAUACACAAGUGCAUUCUUUUACGCACCAGCAUUUCCUUUUUACAACGCUUUUAAUUUUAAUUAUACAAAUGUCAUAGUCAACAACGGCUUUAAACGGUUUGAACGACAAGAAAUGGAGCAGCAGAGGAAA